CUGACGUAUUCUCAUCCCAACAAACAAAUUAUUUCAGGUAGAUAGGAAAUUCGUUUAAAUGUGUUUUACAUUUUCAGUUUGAACUUUAAUGAGUUAUUUAAAUAACGCAUGUCUCAGACAAACUCUUGAGUGUUUGUUAUCCUAGCUUGUAAGCUAGCUAACGUUGCACUAGCCAUUGUCUUGGGUUGGAAAGUGACGGCAGCUCAAUAGCCCACCAUGUCUGAACCGGGUUCUGGCUGUGGCGUUCCAGUCGGGAGAAGCUCACAGCCUGGUCCAGAGACGGUGUCAGUGAAGCUGGAGGACUGCGGUCAAACACUGGAACUCAAUGUGAUUGUCAAAAAGGAGGAGAAGGGAGAUGUUAAAGAAGAAAAGAGCGGAAAUCAAAGAAGAAAAGAGCGGAAAUCAAAGAAGAUAAGGAAGAGGGGGAGAAGAGAGAGGUCCAAGUCGAAGAGGAGAGAAAUGCUGAUGUGGCUCCUCCAGGAGAGAGCUCCAACUCAGGCUCACUCAGCGAGCACAGUAUCAGGAAACCACCGAGGGAGGAACUCAAGGCAGAAACAUCCCCACUGCUUGGACUGCUUCACUAGUUUCUGUGAGCCAGAGCAGUUGAGAAGACACACUUGUAAAGACCGCAGCCACGGUGUAACAUGUCCUCCCAAACGGAAAAAGACUUCCAGCUCCUUCUCACCAAUCCUCCCACCAGUCCUCCCACAAUUGUCUUUCGUCAUCGUGUCAGCUAAUGGGGAUCCUAGUAAACAUGAAGAUAUAUCUGAUGAGAGCUUGAACCAGGCCGGGAAAACCAACAUCAAUCGGUAACCAUGUGGAUUUUCUCCUUGCUAACCAUUACACUCUGUCUCAGGAGGAGAAACUCUAGAUAAAGUCUCGGUCCCCCACCAGCCACCUGAUGUAGACAUAACACUUCCUCAACACAGAACAAAGGGAAAGGACUCGACCCGUCACAGGGCAGGUUCGUUCAACCCCUCGUGGUUCCAUAAGAAAUCGUGGCCUGACGGCGUCUCCAAAAAAAACAACCUUUUCUUCUUCCCGUGCCUUUUAUUCGGCAAAGACUUGGUCAACGGUGGGUUUCAAGGACCUGAAGCACCUCUCCGAAAGGAUUUCCAAACAUGUGAGUUGUUGGACUCAUCUGGAAAACGGAAUGAAACUGGAAUUUCUAGGGAAGACUUAACGCCGCUGGUCAGCUGGUCGGUGUAAACCCAAGCUCCCAUUGAGAUACACAACAGACAAACGGAGGAGAGUAGGUACGUUUCUGGGUAGAAACGUCAAAAGCUACGUUCUGUGCGGGAGACACAUGGCUGCGACGUGGCCGAGCGGCCUGGUCGAGUCGGAUUCCCUAAACACAUCCAUGUUUAAGUGCGUCUUUGAGACGAUGUGCGAGGGAGACUCCAGAGGCAUUGCGACGCUCACAGCUUCUCUAAGCACCCAAGAGGCUAUGUACAAAACCAACUGUUUGACUGUAUGCACGAGGUGUACAAAGAGGCGAUUACCAAGGAGGUGUGGGCGGCUAGCUUCGUAGCGGUGCAGGUGGACGGCAUGCCGUGGACAGGGGAGGUCUCCUCCAGGGUGAUAUUAUUUUUAUUUUUUAUAUAUAUAUGUUUUUUUUUAACCUUUUUUACAAGGCAACUCAGUUAAGAACAAAUUCUUAUUUACAAUGACGGCCUCGGAAAAGUGGGUUAACUGCCUGUUCAUGGGCAGAAUUGCCACUAACUACAGAUCUAGGAUCAGCUUCCCCAAUCCCACCAUUAGUGUGGAAAAUGCAAUACUGGCCCAAGAUCAGCUUCUUGGGCUCACAAUCUACUCCAGUACGCCACAGCAGGUCUCUGUCGUGCUACGGUACACGCUUCCAGACAAUACUGGCAUGGAGAGGUUUUGGGAGUUUGUGGACCUAAAGGAUAAAACGGCCGCCGGUCUCACCCAAGGCAGUCAAGACGUACGACGGGGCCACUGAAUCUGGAAGCUGAUUGGUCAGACGUACGACGGGGUCACUGAAUCUGGAAGCUGAUUGGUCAGACGUACGCAACCUGGAAACUCACCUGAAACACACCUAUCCCAGCGCUAACUCUGUGCACUGCUACGCUCGCCCGCUACGCGUCACACUCCAGCAGAUCUGCUCGGCGACAGCGACUCAACUCAAAAGUGUUUUUUUUUUUGUGUCUUUGUCUUUGUUUUGAAACUUUCUUCAAAGCUCAGCCAAAAGAGAGCUACAGCUGCAGGGAGGAACUGUUAGCGAGAAAUGGUCAGUGUGGUUUGGGAGAAUCGCAUUGCUCUUCAGAAGUGUGUGGAGGAUAUUAGGACACAGCCGAUGUGGGACCAGGACUCUAUCAGAGAGGCUUACGGCCUGUCAGCCAAACCCACGUUCCUACAACUACUGGAAUUUUUCUAUUUGGUCAUGCAAGAGGUGGAUGUUCUCACUGUCAACAUACACAAAAGGGACGUUGUCGUGGCGGACAUCGAACAGGCAGUUGAUAGUUUCGAGAAGUUCGUUCAAGCCCAACAGGGGAGAGCUGAGGCCACAGCACACGUAGGCCCCACGUCGGACAACGUCAAGAGAGAGACACAGAACUGCAGCGGUCAUGAGGAAGGCAUGUGACGUCAUCGUCACACAUGUGCAUCACAGGUUUUCUCAAAGUAGCGACCAUUUAAUCGCAGCCAAACUGGUGAAUCCCACACCCUUCUCUAAGUUCGUAGGCUGUUUCCCGUGCUUAGCCCUACAGUGUGCUGCCAAGCUGUGGUGGUUAACACUGGGAAGCUGAAAGAUGAAUUGACCUAUCUGUACUGACACACGGAGCACCACAGGGGUACAACAGCUCUGUCAUUACUGAAAACAAUCAGCGAGCUCAACCUCCAGAAUGUUUUGUCAGAGACGGUCUCUCUUCUCAAAAUCAUCAUCGCCACUCCCAUGCAGACCACCGAGUCUGACAGAAGGUUCCCCACUCUGAAGAGAAUCCAGGCGUUGCCGUGUUCUCGGAACACCUCGGGUUCCGCGGUCGCUUGGCAACAGAACAACGGCAGGCUCAAUGCACUGUCCAUGCUCGCUGUCGAGAAGGACUUCAUUCAAGCACUCAGGUCAGACUUUCUGGGGCGCUGAGUGUCCCAAAUGGUGCACCUUUCCCUCUGUAGUGCACUACAUUUGAACAUGGACCCUAUUUUGUAGUGCACUACAUUUGACCAUGAGCCCUAUGGGCCCACAAAAUAAGUCCAUAGACUCCAGUAGUAAAUAUUUUUUUAUACAUAAUUCAAAUCAGUAGAAGGGCUGGUUUGUAUUGACAUUAGAGUUCCUCACGGGUCCAGAUAUAUUGGCCAAGUUGCUCUAAUGGUUAUUUUUCCUUUAUUUAACUUUGCAAGUCAGUUAAGAACAAAUUAUUAUUUUCAAUGACGGCCAAGGAACAGUGGGUUAACUGACUUGUUCAGGGGCAAAACAACCGAUUUGUAUCUUGUCAGUUUGGGGAUUCGAAAUUGCAACCUUUCAGUUACUAGUCCAACGCUCUAACCACUAGGCUACGCUGCCAUCCCUGGUUAACUACUAGGUCUUUAUAUGUUGGCUAGGCCUUCUAUAAGUCAAUCAUUUCACCUGAUUGGCGUAAAAUAUAUAUGCUAUAGACUAUGCAGAGCCACGGUCGGGUCUAUUCGGAUCUAUCAGCUGUGGUUACGUAGACCCGAGAUCCGAUGACAAUCAAACAGGACCCGAGGGACAGGUUAGAAUUUCAGACCAGAAUGGGCCUGGGUCUCGGGUAUAUGAAGACCUCUAAUUGGCAUACAAAGUCAACAAUAUGAGUGUGUUGUUAUGUCACGAUCUGCUUGUAAACUGUGAAAUGUUGUCAACUAUCCUUCAACUGAAUUAUAAAUACAAACAGUUCCAACUGUCUGUGUGGCUCCUCUUCAUCACUGAAAGUGUAUUAUGUUGGUAGAUUGUCUUUAUUGAUGAUAAGUCAGUAUAGUAACAUGGUGAUA